rnacentral:rRNA from 1 species
AUGCAUGAAGAUACAAGGCACACCUUCGAGCGCCAAGUACAACGACUCGCAACCAAGCUCAACGUCAACAAGCAACCCAUGAUAUUCAACAAUGGAGAUCUUGUGUGGCUACACCUUCGCAAGGACCGCUUCCCCAACGAACGCAAGUCCAAACUUUUACCACGAGCUGAUGGACCCUUCAAGGUGCUUGCACGCUACAACAACAAUGCCUACAAGAUCGACAUCCCACGCAACAAGUACUCCAUGAGCGACAUCUUCAACGUCAAAGAUCUCUCCCCGUACCAUGGUGAUGAGGAUUUCGAUCCGAGGUCGGAUCUUUCCCAAGGGAGGGGAGACGAUGCGGAGCAUCCUACGGUCAUCCCCAUGGACCUACCAUCGUCUUACCAAGAGCCAAGAGGACAUAUGACACGAGCACGAGCUAGAGCUCUCGAGAACGAGGUGACCUCUUUCCUUAGUGAUAUCACAUAUGAUCCACUCUAG